ensembl:lncRNA
AAAAUGAACAACUUAUUGCGAGGCAGCCAACUGAGGCAAAUGUCUUGAGAAUGGAACCACAUGAACUGUCUUAGAUCUUAUGAUGAAGUGUGAUGAACGGUGAUCGUUAAUGAUGGGUUGUUGUAAUGAAAGUGUACUAGUUAUAAGAUGAAGACUUAAACGAUGUAUGCUUUGUUAAAUUCACUCAUUGAGGCAUAAAGCCGAAUGUAUCUACAUUGAGUGCAUUGGAAUGUGAGGGACAGAUAGGACAGAGAGGUUUCAGGUUACAGCUGCAGCUUCACACCUCGACGUGGAAGGGACAAUGGAGGAGGUGACCCUUUGGAGAAGAGGCCAAUGACAUUCAAAUGCACCAAAGAAGACACACCUCAAGAGGUGACCCUUUGGAGAAGAGGCCAAUGACAUUCAAAUGCACCAAAGAAGACACACCUCAAGAGGUUUCAAAGGACCAUGGCGGGGAAAAGACUGUUAGAACUUCUCCUGCAGCCGCGUUGAUAAGUCACUUCAGACUUGCUCAGAGGAUUCUCUAUUUCGCGAAAUAUUCCACUGUUCGCUUAGUAUUUCACUUUGUAAUUGUAAUCCCUAAUACGUUGUUCAGUUAUUAAAUAACUUUUGAUUUUUGAAUUUAAACGAAUUGACUCAUUCGUGUCCUCGUUUCCGGCCGGGACGAGAACAAAGGAUGAGUCCUCCCUCGAGAGCUUCCGAAACCUUAACAGUA